CUGGAUGAGGAGCUAGUACAUCUCCAAGCAGCUAGUGACCUGAAUGAUCCAACCUAGCAGGGAAUCAACCUGGCAGCCAGGGUGCCAUGUCCUUCAAACAGGGAAGCUAUUCCUCUAUCCAUCAUGCUGAUUUCAAAGUGAACUUGGUAAAUGUCAGUGACUGCAGGCCAAGAAACAUGCUCAUCUUGAGUUUUGAUAUUGGAUAUCAAAUUUUUUGUUCAAUUUUGGUCUUAUAAAACCUUAAAAUCCUUCUUCAUUGAAUGGCCAUUCCUCUCCCUUGGAGUAUUAUGCUUAAUUUUGCCAGGGAAUUGAACCAAGCUUAUUCUUUAUCCCAAGGGAAUUGAAUCAGGAAUCCAGAAUAAGUACAGUUGGCACACAGGCCCAAGGUUGGAAAAAAAUACCUGAAAAUGGAUUCCAGGUUAAGAAUCUCUCUUCCAGACAGUGGUAUUCAACAGAGGUCAUCAGAAUAUAUAUUACAUGGGAAUUUUAAACUGAGUAUUCACAUGUUUAUCUAGUAAGAGUUGAGCCUCCAAGGAUGUGGACCAACAGAAUUAGCUGAGUGUGUUAGUCAAGAACUUUUUCGGGUCUUGAUUGUGUCAUCCUGUGUGCUGGUGAUCCCUGGGUCACUGAAUUGACUGGGAUUGAAGCUGAGAAAACUUAAAACCAAAGGCUGGAACAGAAGAUAUUGUGUGAUUUCUUGGUUAUGGUCAGUCAUUGGAGUAGUAUCCCUUUCGACCCCUCCAUGCUUUCUCAACUGAUGGGCAAAGAGGAUUCCAGACAGAGAAAAUGGCUUGCUUCUGAAGACCA